AUUGAACGCUGGCGGCAGGCCUAACACAUGCAAGUCGAACGAGUGGCGGACGGGUGAGUAAUGUCUGGGAAACUGCCUGCUGGAGGGGGAUAACUACUGGAAACGGUAGCUAAUACCGCAUACCAUCAGAUGUGCCCAGAUGGUAUUAGCUAGUUGGUGGGGUAACGGCUAACCAAGGCGGCGAUCCCUAGCUGGUCUGAGAGGAUGACCAGCCACACUGGAACGGAGACACGGUCCAGACUCCUACGGGAGGCAGCAUUGGGGAAUAUUGCACAAUGGACGCAAGCCUGAUGCAGCAAUGCCGCGUGUAUGAAGAAGGCCUUCGGGUUGUAAAGUACUUUCAGCGUGGAGGCGUUACCCGCAGAAGAAGCACCGGCUAACUCCGUGCCAGCCGCCGCGGUAAUUC
rnacentral:rRNA from 1 species